GGCAUUUCAGUCGUGACCGACACAACAGACAUGACAGUCGUGACCGACACAACAGACAUGACAACAGUGACCAACGCAGCAGACAUGACAGCAGUGACCGACAAGUGAGCGAUUGGAUUCAGAAUCUGUCUAGUGAAGACCUUGAUGAUGUUCAACCCUUGAACCAAGGAGAAAACCAUCAGAGUGGAUUUCCUAUGGAUUGGGCAAAAUUCCAGAGGCGAGUCAUUCAUUUGUUGCUGGAUAUGAGGACCUCUUUGCAUACUCUUACUGGCUCUACACCAAGUGACAAUGAUAUAUCAAUUCAACAGCUGGACUCUAUGGAGGAUGCAGAGGGAUUUGAAAAUGAAUAGUGAACACCCUCUUUUAGCAAAGAAAUGACAGAAAAAUUUGUCCACAUAGCUGGAAUUUCAGUGAAGGAUAUGAUAUCAAAGGUAUUGUGCAGCAUUAUGUCGAAGGAGUUGAUGUGUAAGUACAACAUGUAUGGACAACGGGGCAAAGUAGCUUUUAAAAAUACAAGAUUGUGCAGUGUCAUCACAGACUGUUAUGAAGAAAUUCAGAGAUGUGAGUUUAACAGAAAUACAGAAGAUGAUUGCAACAAACUUGUGUAAUGCCCCAAAAAUGAAGUAAAGUGGAAACUAAAUCAUGUAGGGUAGCGGGCAAAUAGUGAUGCUGGGUCGGGAUACAAUAAAAUCAGGUAACUUCAGACAUUUUUUAGGGUUUUGGCCUAUAAAUUCUUGUAGAACUACACUAUUUGAAACCUGUCCUUACUGUGAAAACUGUUCUAUGAUCUGUCCAACAGUUUGGUUAGACUCAGGAAAACUGUUGAUACCCACAUUUUUAUUCCAGGUACGGUGUGCAAAAAAAUGUAGCAACAAGAUGUGUAUUCUCAAAGCAUGAACAGAAAUUUGUAUUAGUAAUUAAGAGCCACACCUGUAAUAUCAAGGCAUACUGUGUAGAACAGUCCUUGAGUUAAGGCUGAGGAGGUAAAACUAAAAUCUGAAAUCUGCCACAAAAUGGUUGUUGAUAAUGAAACUGGCUUUAUAAUGCUACCCAAGAGCUCAGCUGUAGUCAGAGUCAUGGUAAUUUUACUGCCUCCUGCCUCCUUUCACCCACUAUUGCUGUGACUUGACUGCAGGCCUGCCAUGAAUACCAGCAAAUUGUGAAAAUGAUGAUGUACAGUAUUGUAUUGUGGCUUUUCUUUCUCCUGAUGGAUAUUAAAUUUACAUAGUAUUAUAUUGUAUUGUGGCUUCUCUUUCUCCUGAUGGAUAUUAAAUUUACAUAGUAUUAUAUUG